GACGAACGCUGGCGGCGUGCCUAAUACAUGCAAGUUGAGCGAUGAAUAUUGGUGCUUGCGCCAAUUUGAAGAUCAGCCAACGGGUGAGUAACUCGUGGUGAAUCUGCCUUUGAGCGGGGGACAACAUUUGGAAACGAAUGCUAAUACCGCAUAACAACUUUAAACAUAAUUUUUAAGUUUUAAAGAUGCAAUUUCAUCACUCAAAGAUGAUCCCGCGUUGUAUUCGCUAGUUGGUGAGGUAACGUCUAACCAAGGCUAUGAUACAUAGCCGACCUGAGAGGGUGCUCGGCCACAUUGGGACUGAGACACGACCCACAAUCCUACGGGAGGCAGAAGUAGGGAAUUCUUGCGAAUGGAAGAAAGUCUGAACGAGGAACGACGCGUGAGUGAAGAAGGUUUUAGGAUCGUAAAACUCUGUUAGUAGAGAAGAUUGUAGAUGAGAGUGGAAAGCUAAUAAAGUGACGGUAACGAGACAGAAAGGGACGGCUAACUCCGUG
rnacentral:rRNA from 1 species